rnacentral:rRNA from 1 species
AGAUUGAACGCUGGCGGCAGGCCUAACACAUGCAAGUCGAGCGGCAGCACGGGUACUUGUACCUGGUGGCGAGCGGCGGACGGGUGAGUAAUGCCUAGGAAUCUGCCUGAUAGUGGGGGAUAACGUUCGGAACGGACGCUAAUACCGCAUACGUCCUACGGGAGAAAGUGGGGGAUCUUCGGACCUCACGCUAUCCAGAUGAGCCUAGGUCGGAUUAGCUAGUUGGUAGGGUAAAGGCCUACCAAGGCUACGAUCCGUAACUGUCUGAGAGGAUGAUCAGUCACACUGGAACUGAGACACGGUCCAGACCGUCCUACGGGAGGCCAGCAGGUGGGAAUAUUGGACAAGUGGGACGAAACGGCCCUAGACUCCGAACGCCCUAGUCGCCG